UGUGGUCUCGACAUCUUCAUCGGU
rnacentral:piRNA from 1 species